rnacentral:rRNA from 1 species
AAAGCUCAAAUUUGAAAUCUGGCAGCCCUUGGUUGUCCGAGUUGUAAUCUAGAGAAGUGCUUACCCGCGUUGGGCCGUGUACAAGUCUCCUGGAAUGGAGCGUCAUAGAGGGUGAGAAUCCCGUCUUUGACACGGACUACCAAGGCUUUGUGGUGUGCUCUCAAAGAGUCGAGUUGUUUGGGAAUGCAGCUCAAAAUGGGUGGUAAAUGCCAUCUAAAGCUAAAUAUAGGCGAGAGACCGAUAGCGAA